GGCGGCAUGCCUUACACAUGCAAGUCGAACGGCAGCACGGGAGCAAUCCUGGUGGCGAGUGGCGAACGGGUGAGUAAUACAUCGGAACGUGCCCAGUAGUGGGGGAUAACUCGGCGAAAGCCGGACUAAUACCGCAUACGACCUACGGGUGAAAGCAGGGGAUCGCAAGACCUUGCGCUAUCGGAGCGGCCGAUGUCAGAUUAGCUAGUUGGUGGGGUAAAAGCCUACCAAGGCGACGAUCUGUAGCUGGUCUGAGAGGACGACCAGCCACACUGGGACUGAGACACGGCCCAGACUCCUACGGGAGGCAGCAGUGGGGAAUUUUGGACAAUGGGCGCAAGCCUGAUCCAGCCAUGCCGCGUGCGGGAAGAAGGCCUUCGGGUUGUAAACCGCUUUUGUCAGGGAAGAAACGCUCCGGAUUAAUACCUCGGAGUAAUGACGGUACCUGAAGAAUAAGCACCGGCUAACUACGUGCCAGCAGCCGCGGUAAUACGUAGGGUGCGAGCGUUAAUCGGAAUUACUGGGCGUAAAGGGUGCGCAGGCGGCUUUGCAAGACAGAUGUGAAAUCCCCGGGCUUAACCUGGGAACUGCAUUUGUGA
rnacentral:rRNA from 1 species